AGUGAACGCUGGCGGUAGGCCUAACACAUGCAAGUCGAACGGCAGCACAGUAAGAGCUUGCUCUUACGGGUGGCGAGUGGCGGACGGGUGAGGAAUACAUCGGAAUCUACUUUUUCGUGGGGGAUAACGUAGGGAAACUUACGCUAAUACCGCAUACGACCUACGGGUGAAAGCAGGGGAUCUUCGGACCUUGCGCGAUUGAAUGAGCCGAUGUCGGAUUAGCUAGUUGGCGGGGUAAAGGCCCACCAAGGCGACGAUCCGUAGCUGGUCUGAGAGGAUGAUCAGCCACACUGGAACUGAGACACGGUCCAGACUCCUACGGGAGGCAGCAGUGGGGAAUAUUGGACAGUGGGCGCAAGCCUGAUCCAGCCAUACCGCGUGGGCGAAGAAGGCCUUCGGGUUGUAAAGCCCUUUUGUUGGGAAAGAAAAGCAGCAGGUUAAUACCCCGCUGUUCUGACGGUACCCAAAGAAUAGGCACCGGCUAACUUCGU
rnacentral:rRNA from 1 species